AGUAGAAUCUAGAAAAAGUUCUAUAAUUAUUAAAUGUGAGUUAACUUAUUCCAGGCUAUACUGCAACUAAGGGCAGAAAAUAUGCUUCUCAAAUCUCUUGGAUGUGCAGGGUAUAUAAUAUCAUUGAAUCUAAGUAUUGUUAGGGACUUUAGAGGUCACCUAGUCCAGUCUCAUCUCUGGCCUAGACUGCUUCUCUGCUGU
rnacentral:lncRNA from 10 species